GACGAACGCUGGCGGCGUGCUUAACACAUGCAAGUCGAACGGAAAGGCCCUGCUUUUGUGGGGUGCUCGAGUGGCGAACGGGUGAGUAACACGUGAGUAACCUGCCCUUGACUUUGGGAUAACUUCAGGAAACUGGGGCUAAUACCGGAUAGGAGCUCCUGCUGCAUUGUGGGGGUUGGAAAGUUUCGGCGGUUGGGGAUGGACUCGCGGCUUAUCAGCUUGUUGGUGGGGUAGUGGCUUACCAAGGCUUUGACGGGUAGCCGGCCUGAGAGGGUGACCGGCCACAUUGGGACUGAGAUACGGCCCAGACUCCUACGGGAGGCAGCAGUGGGGAAUAUUGCACAAUGGGCGGAAGCCUGAUGCAGCAACGCCGCGUGCGGGAUGACGGCCUUCGGGUUGUAAACCGCUUUCGCCUGUGACGAAGCGUGAGUGACGGUAAUGGGUAAAGAAGCACCGGCUAACUACAUG
rnacentral:rRNA from 1 species